AGCAGCCGCGGUAAUUCCAGCUCCAAUAGCGUAUAUUAAAGUUGUUGCAGUUAAAAAGCUCGUAGUUGAAUUUCGGGGUUAGUAGGUUGGUCAUGCCUCUGGUAUGUACUGGUCUCACUGAUUCCUCCUUCCUGAUGAACCGUAAUGCCAUUAAUUUGGUGUUGCGGGGAAUUUGGACUGUUACUUUGAAAAAUUAGAGUGUUUAAAGCAAGCUAACGCUUGAAUACAUUAGCAUGGAAUAAUGAAAUAGGACGUUCGAUCCUAUUUUGUUGGUUUCUAGGAUUGACGUAAUGAUUAAUAGGGAUAGUUGGGGGCAUUAGUAUUCAAUUGUCAGAGGUGAAAUUCUUGGAUUUAUUGAAGACUAACUACUGCGAAAGCAUUUGCCAAGGAUGUUUUCAUUAAUCAAGAACGAAAGUUAGGGGAUCGAAGACGAUCAGAUACCGUCGUAGUCUUAACCAUAAACUAUGCCGACUAGGGAUCGGAUGAUGUUAAUUUUUAAUGUA
rnacentral:sRNA from 1 species